AAAGAAAGGGAGAGGAUAGUCGUGAUCAAAGCCGAUCGUAUCCGAAAGCCAUGCUAAUGGCGGCGUAUUUGUUGUUGUAAGUUUGUAAGUGCUUGUAAGUUUUCUGUAGUUUCUAUGUUCGUGCGUGACGUGCUGCAGCGCUUCAAGUAUGUCGUUAGCUGUGAGAAUUUCAACGUAUCUCUUCACAAGUGUCAACACUUGUGAGUGCCAGCGUGAGGAGACGUCUGGGGUAUGAUUGUGAGGGGUCGAGACCAUUACUCCACCAGCAGACGUUAUUGCUGCCCCUUUGCAAGCUCCCGUCCUGUGGACACUGCCAACGGGUACCAGUCUUCAGGAGCUUCUGCUUCGUGUACUGAUAUCCUUUGAACGCCAAGCAUUCGCUGCCCUUUGCUGUUUUCAGAAUUUUCAUUUUGCUGAUCUGAAAUAUAUGUAGGAAGGUAUUUCCAUGUGGGCUUAGGCUUUCCACAGUGUGCUAAGAAAAAGUCUGGAUCGGAUCCCAAUACUGACAAUACAAUGACUCAAAUAAUUAGGGUAGCUAAAAGCAUAGAAGGUACAACUUACCUAAGGGUGCUCCCAGGGACGUGGUGGUUGCUGCCAAGUUACCACGGUCCAGAGGAAAGUACUGUCAUGCGUGCAGAUCUCUAUGUGCAGAUCAUGGCACACUAUUGACAGGUGGAGGCUAUGCCGGCUAACCCACUUUUCUAUGAGGCACCACCACUAGCCAGUGUGCCCUGCUGAGCGUUUCUUUUCUUUUCCUACAAUGAAACCAUGGUCCGUGUGGCCAAGGUGAAUGCACUUCACUUCUUGUUACCCCGCGCUCUGGGCAAAUCCCUUCAGAGUAGGAUGCCUUUUAUCCUUGCCUUGUAUCCACAGAUCUUACCAGUAAUUGUGCCUUCCUAAGCUUUUCUCUUAUGUUCCACAGACAAACCUAUGACCCCUGUGAACAAGGUAGAUGACCUGAGUGAGUUCUUUGACCACUUUCACGGGGAACGUUCGCUGAAACAGUGAAGCUGGCAUGGGUUUUCCCCAUGACACAAUUUUCUGUGCCACGGUUCUACGACUAAAUACCCUUACUUCAUAUCGGGGAGCCCUGUAUAUGGAAACUUGCGCCAACAUACCCUCGUAAUCGAUAGCACUUUAUUUAGCGAAGGAACAUGCUCUAUGGUUGUUCAAGGUACAAUGGCGGGAUGAAGACCCAUGGGUAUCAGGAAGGCUUAACCACAGCAGUUACUGUUGAAAGCCACAGUGAGUCAUUGGAGGCAGUGCUGCAGCACCAACAAUCACUCAUUGGCAGAAAGGAAUGAGGUGGCCAUCAACACCCUGCUGCCAGUUCAACACUCCUCAGUCAAAACGCAAGACGCCUGCUUGGAAGCAAAGUCAAUCCAGUUUUAGACUGAGUUUUGUACCAUAGACUUCGCGCGUGGUUUACUGUGAAUAAAUGUUCAUGCUGAGA